GAGUGAUUUCCUGCUUUCCAGGCACUUGUCCCAUUCAUUUCAGUGUUCCUCGAAGAAAUUGUUAUGGCUGUAGCUGUACCCCAGAAGAUUCUUGUGUUUCUUGUGUUUUUCCCCUCCUCUGUGUUUCCAGUGCUACCCUGUCUGUCCCUAUUUGUCUGUGUCUGUGUGUUGGUGUGCUUUCCCUUCCUCACUCUCCUAGCUCUCCCUGCACACCUGCCUUCAAUUAGCUCAUCUCCUCUCCAGUAUAUCAACCUCGGUUUUUCACUCACUCUUGGCCAGAUUGUUGUUUCAACUCAGUGGUAGUAAACGUUUCCAGGCCAAUUAGUUAGUGAAUUCCUUGUGUAAAGUUUUCAGAUGCAUUGUGUAUUCUAACCUGUUUGUCUCCCAUCCCAGGAUCUCAUUCCUGCCUGCCUGUCUGCCAGCUGCCUCCUUGCCUCUAAGCUACCCCCAGCCAGCCAUGCUUCUUCUCAUUCCACGCUCACCCCCGCCACACACCUCCAUUACACUCUCUCUCUCUCAUGCUGCCAACGGAUCCCCUUCUCCGUCAUCAGCUCCAAGUCCAGUAACUCCCCUCCAUUGAACCUUUUCUUAACCAACACCACUCUGUCCUUGUCCUGCAUCUGGGUCCCUCCUGAGUCUGUCACAAAAAGCAACUUGCAGAUGUUGUCUCCAGGAGCCUGGGGGCGUGGUGAUACAGCUCACCUGCGGCUCAUCCAGCUCACAGUACACCUACUGCUCAUCCACUCAUCAGAGGCCUGCAGUAUUUAAACCCAAGUCCUAGACUCCACUCUCCGCCAGAUUGUUCCAUGUACUACAUGGUAUAGACACAUUGGCUGACUUUCCUAGUUAAGAAGUUACUCUCUUCCGUAGUGUUACUCUGGCUAAUCCUGUUUACCUGUGCCCCCGGUUCAUCGCCUCCAGUCCCCCUAGUCUGCCUGCUCAGCUCUGUGCCUUGUUUGUCUCCUGGUCUGCCAAAGACUCUGUUCACCACCUGCAUUCCACUACCUGCCCUGGGUCAGGUACUGAUCAAUGCCUGCCCCGCUUCCCAAUCAGAAUCUGUUACAUCCACAAUAAACUGCCUUUGUCUGAACUUUUA